CCUACGGGGGGCUGCAGUUGGGAAUCUUGCACAAUGGGGGAAACCCUGAUGCAUCGACGCCGCGUGGAGGAAGAAGGGUCUAGGCUCGUAAACUCCUUUUUCAGGGAAAGACUUAGGACUGUACCCUGAUAAUAAGCUCCUGCUAACUACGUGCCAGCAGCCGCGGUCAGACGUAGGGAGCGAGCUUUUUCCGGAUUUACUGGGCGUAAAGAGCACGUAGGCGGUCUGUUAAGUGAGACGUGAAAUCUCCAGCGAUCAACGCGGAAACGGCGUUUCAUACUGGCAGACUUGAGGGAUGCAGAGGCAAGUAGAAUGCCUGGUGUACCGGUGACAUGGGUUGAUAUCAGGAGGAAUACCAAUGGCGAAGGCAGCUUGCUGGGCAUCAGCUGACGCUGAGGUGCGAAAGCGUGGGUAGCAAACAGGAGUAGAUACCCUUGUAGUC
rnacentral:rRNA from 1 species